rnacentral:rRNA from 1 species
UACAGAGAGCUGCGAGCGUUAUUCGGAGUUCACUGGGCGUAAAGGGUGCGCAGGCGCCGUGUGUGUGAGGCGUGAAAGCCCGGGGCUUAACCCCGGAAUUGCACCUCAAACUCAUGGCUAGAGCAUUGGAGAGGGUAGCAGAAUUCAUGGUGUAGCAGUGAAAUGCGUAGAUAUCGGAAGGAACGCCGGUGGCGAAAGCGGCGCGCUGGACCUCUUCUGACGCUGAGGCGCGAAAGCCAGGGGAGCAAACGGG